AUACUUAGCUGGCAGAGGAAAUACCAUGAUUAUGAAGGUGGUUUUCCCAGGGCAAGGCUUAUCCAUUGCACUCUGGAUGUGCUGACCCCUGCAGUUUCCCCAAAUGCAGGAAACUCAGUCACAUAAUUUGUGGUAGUGGGAGACUGCAUUCAUGCUCUCCCCUA